rnacentral:tRNA from 1 species
GCCUUCAUGGUGUAGUGGUCAGCACGCUCGGCGCAUAUCGAGAGGUCCGUGGUUCGAGUCCCGGCGAGGAUA